rnacentral:ncRNA from 2 species
ACUAAAUAUAGCCGUCACGGUCCCUUGAGUCGAAGACACGGCAAGAGGGCUAAGAGGGAAGCCGGUGCGCCUUGAACCAAGGCAAGGCCGGCGCUGCCCCCGCAACUGUAAGCAGUGAGUUGAUUCCGACCGACGUCACUGGUGCGCAAGCAUCGGGAAGACCGGGAUCGACGAUGACCUGUGAGCCAGGAGACCUGCCGCGACACCAGAACGUCC